GACGAACGCUGGCGGCGUGCUUAACACAUGCAAGUCGAACGGAAAGGCCUUUUCGGAGGUACUCGAGUGGCGAACGGGUGCGUAACACGUGGGUGAUCUGCCCUGCACUCUGGGAUAAGCCUGGGAAACUGGGUCUAAUACCGGAUAGGACCGCACUUUAGUGUGUGUGGUGGAAAGUUUUUUCGGUGUAGGAUGAGCCCGCGGCCUAUCAGCUUGUUGGUGGGGUAAUGGCCUACCAAGGCGGCGACGGGUAGCCGGACUGAGAGGUUGGUCGGCCACAUUGGGACUGAGAUACGGCCCAGACUCCUACGGGAGGCAGCAGUGGGGAAUAUUGCACAAUGGGCGCAAGCCUGAUGCAGCGACGCCGCGGGGGGGAUGACGGCCUUCGGGUUGUAAACUCCUUUCGCCAGGGACGAAGCGUUUUGUGACGGUACCUGGAGAAGAAGCACCGGCUAACUACGUG
rnacentral:rRNA from 1 species